UUAAGCGACUAAGCGUACACGGUGGAUGCCCUGGCAGUCAGAGGCGAUGAAGGACGUGCUAAUCUGCGAUAAGCGUCGGUAAGGUGAUAUGAACCGUUAUAACCGGCGAUUUCCGAAUGGGGAAACCCAGUGUGUUUCGACACACUAUCAUUAACUGAAUCCAUAGGUUAAUGAGGCGAACCGGGGGAACUGAAACAUCUAAGUACCCCGAGGAAAAGAAAUCAACCGAGAUUCCCCCAGUAGCGGCGAGCGAACGGGGAGGAGCCCAGAGCCUGAAUCAGUGUGUGUGUUAGUGGAAGCGUCUGGAAAGGCGCGCGAUACAGGGUGACAGCCCCGUACACAAAAAUGCACAUACUGUGAGCUCGAUGAGUAGGGCGGGACACGUGGUAUCCUGUCUGAAUAUGGGGGGACCAUCCUCCAAGGCUAAAUACUCCUGACUGACCGAUAGUGAACCAGUACCGUGAGGGAAAGGCGAAAAGAACCCCGGCGAGGGGAGUGAAAAAGAACCUGAAACCGUGUACGUACAAGCAGUGGGAGCCUCUUUUAUGGGGUGACUGCGUACCUUUUGUAUAAUGGGUCAGCGACUUAUAUUCUGUAGCAAGGUUAACCGAAUAGGGGAGCCGAAGGGAAACCGAGUCUUAACUGGGCGUUAAGUUGCAGGGUAUAGACCCGAAACCCGGUGAUCUAGCCAUGGGCAGGUUGAAGGUUGGGUAACACUAACUGGAGGACCGAACCGACUAAUGUUGAAAAAUUAGCGGAUGACUUGUGGCUGGGGGUGAAAGGCCAAUCAAACCGGGAGAUAGCUGGUUCUCCCCGAAAGCUAUUUAGGUAGCGCCUCGUGAAUUCAUCUCCGGGGGUAGAGCACUGUUUCGGCAAGGGGGUCAUCCCGACUUACCAACCCGAUGCAAACUGCGAAUACCGGAGAAUGUUAUCACGGGAGACACACGGCGGGUGCUAACGUCCGUCGUGAAGAGGGAAACAACCCAGACCGCCAGCUAAGGUCCCAAAGUCAUGGUUAAGUGGGAAACGAUGUGGGAAGGCCCAGACAGCCAGGAUGUUGGCUUAGAAGCAGCCAUCAUUUAAAGAAAGCGUAAUAGCUCACUGGUCGAGUCGGCCUGCGCGGAAGAUGUAACGGGGCUAAACCAUGCACCGAAGCUGCGGCAGCGACGCUUAUGCGUUGUUGGGUAGGGGAGCGUUCUGUAAGCCUGUGAAGGUGUGCUGUGAGGCAUGCUGGAGGUAUCAGAAGUGCGAAUGCUGACAUAAGUAACGAUAAAGCGGGUGAAAAGCCCGCUCGCCGGAAGACCAAGGGUUCCUGUCCAACGUUAAUCGGGGCAGGGUGAGUCGACCCCUAAGGCGAGGCCGAAAGGCGUAGUCGAUGGGAAACAGGUUAAUAUUCCUGUACUUGGUGUUACUGCGAAGGGGGGACGGAGAAGGCUAUGUUGGCCGGGCGACGGUUGUCCCGGUUUAAGCGUGUAGGCUGGUUUUCCAGGCAAAUCCGGAAAAUCAAGGCUGAGGCGUGAUGACGAGGCACUACGGUGCUGAAGCAACAAAUGCCCUGCUUCCAGGAAAAGCCUCUAAGCAUCAGGUAACAUCAAAUCGUACCCCAAACCGACACAGGUGGUCAGGUAGAGAAUACCAAGGCGCUUGAGAGAACUCGGGUGAAGGAACUAGGCAAAAUGGUGCCGUAACUUCGGGAGAAGGCACGCUGAUAUGUAGGUGAAGUCCCUUGCGGAUGGAGCUGAAAUCAGUCGAAGAUACCAGCUGGCUGCAACUGUUUAUUAAAAACACAGCACUGUGCAAACACGAAAGUGGACGUAUACGGUGUGACGCCUGCCCGGUGCCGGAAGGUUAAUUGAUGGGGUCAGCGCAAGCGAAGCUCUUGAUCGAAGCCCCGGUAAACGGCGGCCGUAACUAUAACGGUCCUAAGGUAGCGAAAUUCCUUGUCGGGUAAGUUCCGACCUGCACGAAUGGCGUAAUGAUGGCCAGGCUGUCUCCACCCGAGACUCAGUGAAAUUGAACUCGCUGUGAAGAUGCAGUGUACCCGCGGCAAGACGGAAAGACCCCGUGAACCUUUACUAUAGCUUGACACUGAACAUUGAGCCUUGAUGUGUAGGAUAGGUGGGAGGCUUAGAAGUGUGGACGCCAGUCUGCAUGGAGCCGACCUUGAAAUACCACCCUUUAAUGUUUGAUGUUCUAACGUUGACCCCUAAUCGGGGUUGCGGACAGUGUCUGGUGGGUAGUUUGACUGGGGCGGUCUCCUCCUAAAGAGUAACGGAGGAGCACGAAGGUUGGCUAAUCCUGGUCGGACAUCAGGAGGUUAGUGCAAUGGCAUAAGCCAGCUUGACUGCGAGCGUGACGGCGCGAGCAGGUGCGAAAGCAGGUCAUAGUGAUCCGGUGGUUCUGAAUGGAAGGGCCAUCGCUCAACGGAUAAAAGGUACUCCGGGGAUAACAGGCUGAUACCGCCCAAGAGUUCAUAUCGACGGCGGUGUUUGGCACCUCGAUGUCGGCUCAUCACAUCCUGGGGCUGAAGUAGGUCCCAAGGGUAUGGCUGUUCGCCAUUUAAAGUGGUACGCGAGCUGGGUUUAGAACGUCGUGAGACAGUUCGGUCCCUAUCUGCCGUGGGCGCUGGAGAACUGAGGGGGGCUGCUCCUAGUACGAGAGGACCGGAGUGGACGCAUCACUGGUGUUCGGGUUGUCAUGCCAAUGGCACUGCCCGGUAGCUAAAUGCGGAAGAGAUAAGUGCUGAAAGCAUCUAAGCACGAAACUUGCCCCGAGAUGAGUUCUCCCUGACUCCUUGAGAGUCCUGAAGGAACGUUGAAGACGACGACGUUGAUAGGCCGGGUGUGUAAGCGCAGCGAUGCGUUGAGCUAACCGGUACUAAUGAACCGUGAGGCUUAACCUU
rnacentral:rRNA from 1 species